AUUGAACGCUGGCGGCAUGCCUUACACAUGCAAGUCGAACGGCAGCACGGGAGCAAUCCUGGUGGCGAGUGGCGAACGGGUGAGUAAUAUAUCGGAACGUGCCCAGUCGUGGGGAUAACGUAGCGAAAGCUACGCUAAUACCGCAUACGAUCUAUGGAUGAAAGCGGGGGAUCGCAAGACCUCGCGCGAUUGGAGCGGCCGAUAUCAGAUUAGGUAGUUGGUGAGGUAAAGGCUCACCAAGCCGACGAUCUGUAGCUGGUCUGAGAGGACGACCAGCCACACUGGGACUGAGACACGGCCCAGACUCCUACGGGAGGCAGCAGUGGGGGAAUUUUGGACAAUGGGCGGCAAGCCUGAUCCAGCAAUGCCGCGUGCGGGAUGAAGGCCUCGGUGUAAGUACGUACUUUACCCGUUACGUACGUAGA
rnacentral:rRNA from 1 species